CUGCCCUGCUCGAGGCCGAUGGAAACGGGUCGUGACACGCGGUGGGGCCAGGUGUCUCGCAGCGUCUUUCUUCCGUUUGAUUUGAUUGUGGGUUGCAGUAUGUUCCCGGUGCGCCAGACCAGAUGACGUGCCCACUGAUCACAAUGUUGGUCCACUUGGUCUGCAGCCAGGUGACUAUGGGAUCGGAGGAGCAGAUGGAGUAGAUGGUUUGAUUGGUUUUUGAGUCGGAGGAGUAGCAACAGUAGAACCAUAUGUGGUCGCAAGGGAAGCCUUAAAGUGCUGCAAUCCGCGAGAAACUCGUCGGAAGUUAGACCCAACUCCGUAAGUGAUGCCAGCGAGGACAUGCAAGGUAUAUCGUCGCCGUCUACAGCUGCAACUGCUCAUGAUGCCAACUGCAACUGUUCAUGAUGCCACCUCAGCGGACGCAAAAAUCAGAUGCUAUAGACGAACGCUUCUUCCUGGAUGAGCAGUCACUUGGACUCCUCGCACCUUAUCUGAUAACAAUGAAAAUUUAAAAAAAAAAAAGAACAGCUACAUCACAAAACCUGGUACCUGAACCGUUAGUUAAAAUGAUGAUUGAACUAAUAAUUUUAAAUGGAUUAAAAGACGAAAGUCAGGUUAAUUUAUUGGAACGAAUGCUUGUAAUUAAUGUGCAAAUAUAGUCAUUCCCGCCCACUGCAAUACUUGUAGUUUUGAUUAAUCUUCAGCCUCAAUUCAAUUCAAAAUCGUUUAAAACAAGUUUACUCUCUUUCCAAAAGAAAAAAACAGUAGGGAUAGAUGAAUUCGUUUUUAUUCAUUAUUUUUUUAAGCUGCAACAUAAGUUUAAAUAUUAGUUUUCGUUAUGUUAGGCACUUACCGCGCUGAUCUACGAGAUCCGAGAAGUCCAGGCCACAGAAGGUGGUUUAGGGAUUCCCGGAAUUGCAGAGUCCAUUGCGAUUCCGUGGUAGUUUUGCUGGAAAUGUUUUCGCCUAAACUUAAAAUGGACGCCCACCAAACGCCAAGCGGCAACACCAGACAGGAAAACACCAACAACGCCAACCAGCAACCAGCAACAAACGACGGGACGAGAGAAGUGAAGUAACAGGAAACCGGAACCGGGAAACGGCAAACAGCCAAAGAAAUAGUCUAUAUAUCCCUUUUUCUCCCACUCUGCUCUGGAUCUCGAGUGCAGCAGCAGCAACAGCAACAGCGGUAGCAGCAGCGGAGGCGGGGCGGCGACAGCGGCUGACAGGAAACGCCAACGGCCACGGCAGCAGCAACAGCAACAGCUACGCGAUGUCCGCUCUCGUGUCGUGUUGUCUCUGCUAGCGCUGGACGGGGGAA
rnacentral:sRNA from 1 species